rnacentral:rRNA from 1 species
CAGCCGCCGCGGUAAUACGAAGGUCCCGAGCGUUGUUCGGAAUCACUGGGCGUAAAGGGAGCGUAGGCGGCGUGGUAAGUCAGAUGUGAAAUCCCGGGGCUCAACCCCGGAACUGCAUCCGAUACUGCCAUGCUAGAGGAUUGGAGAGGUAGCUGGAAUUCUUGGUGUAGCAGUGAAAUGCGUGGAGAUCAAGAGGAACACUCGUGGCGAAAGCGAGCUACUGGACAAUAACUGACGCUGAGGCUCGAAGGCCAGGGUAGCGAAAGGGAUUAGAUACCCGCGUAGUCCCUGUCUCUUAUAC